rfam:Trichinella nelsoni scaffold15s, whole genome shotgun sequence.
CCAACGGCCCUCCUGAGGGCCACUACUUUACAAAUUCCGUUAUUG